GAGGGCUUGGAGCUGGGGCUGCCCUGGAGGAGGGACAGGUCUGCCGGGGCACCUGCUGCUCAGUGUCAAUGGUCCUGGGCCUUCCAGCUGCUCCUUGGAAAAUGCAGAAGGGCAGGAUGCACAUCAGAAGGUACCUCCAUGCCUUUCCCAUAGCGUUGUGUGGUUGCACAGGGACAUGAUGCAUUUAAUGUGACUCAUCUACACCAGACACCUGGAUAAAGGAAAACAUGAAGGAAAUGGUCUGUAGUUGUGAGAAUGAUUCACUUGCCACAGAGGGGCAGUGACUUGCUCAGGACCACCAGGUAAGGCCACUGCCCCUCCCAGGCCAAGGCCAGUCCUGGGUGCCUGCACCACCCCAAGCCCCACCGGUGAGCAGGAACCCCAGCCUCGGGCGCUCAAUGUAUGUCCCGACCCCCAGACCCGCUAAGCCACAGAGGGAGAGGAGCAGGGACGCUUGUGGCCUGGUCCAGGGGCUCCGGCCUGCCUGCCCCACCCUCUGGGCAUUGGCCCCCAGGUUUUCCCCAGGCUGAUUCAAAGGCUGCACCUCCUCAAGGAAGCCCUCAGGGUGCCACACCGCACUCCAUGUCCACCAGUGAGGAGAGGGAUUCUGGGGUGCCCCCUCUCUGGACAGGGGAGGGGCUCACAGAACUCAAGGGUGACACUUCACCUCCCCUUUGACCUGGAAGCUUCUGAGGUCUGCCUGGCAAGAAACCACCAGGAAUCCAUUCACCACCCCCUACAGCUGUCACCAGCCAUCCGGGGACCUGGGUAGGCCCCCGAGCAUGGCUGUGGUACGUUCUGUGGGUGGAGUGGGAAGUCGCAGAGCCCUGAGAGGAGGCCCUGGUCCUGACCAUUUGCUGCUUUGCAGGCCUUCCCUGAGAGAGACAGGAUGUGAGCCUGCAGAGGCUGGAGGGCAGGUGCAGGGGAGGGACAGCGACUGCCUGCAGGUGAGCAGUGACCAGGGGCCCUGUCUCAGGAGGGGCCCCCUAAGGUCAGAGUUCAGAACUCAUUCCAGCAGGAAGCAGUCAGAAGGAGCAGGGGUCAGUGUUCUGUCCUCAGACGGGUCCCUUCCUCGGGCCCCGGGGGCUGGAGCAGAGAAGCAAACCCAGCUCAGGAAUGGGUGAACUGGGGCCCCAUGGGUACUGCGGGACCCUUUGGGGUGCGGACUCUGGGGCCCAGGGCCUGGACAGCGGAGCAAGUCAGGCUCCAGGAUCUGUGAGUUCUCUUCUUAGGCUCCCCCGCAAGGAGGGGUAUACAGUGAAAGAGAAAUGGAAAAGGGUGUACUGUGUCCCUCCGGUGACCACUGGUGCCCUCUUGUGGCCGUGGUCGGCACGGCUCAGCGGCACCGUGUGCAUAGCCGGGGCUCCAGAAGAGAGUCCGUCCCAGUGGAGCAGCCCAUGGGGCUGUGGGAUGACCAGGCAACACUCGGCUUGCAAGGCUUCCGCUCUGUGCCCGCGGUGGGUCUGCAGCCGCUCGUGAACUGCAGAGGGUUCUGGAAUCCAAAUGCAGCCUCCUAAACUUCAAACUCAAAGUGCCGAGGAGCUGAGGUUCCUGUCCUCCUCUCCUGACCUUGCAGCUGGGAUACCCUGGCCCUGCAUUCAGCACCCUGCCAUCCCUUCUCCUCUUCUAGGAUACAGUCUGUGUCAAGUUUUCACGAGGGACAUGUGCAGUGGUGUGCGGCCUCUCACAGGACCAUUUAACCACCGGCUCACAGCAUGUGCAUCCUCUGCCCCCACGCUCCCGUUGGAGCGACCUUCCUGCUCUCUGUUGGGAGCUAGUAUUAUUGCACAACAAAUUAAGGAGUAAGUGACAGGUGGAGUCAUCCUGCGAGAUGCCAGAAACCUUCCAUGUCAACCAUUCUGUUUCAUUCCACCCUGGCCCUUUGUCCUGGAGCUGCUUCUGUACAGACCAUCUGGGCUUGUCCUGCCUUUGACAGUUUUCUCACACUGGUCACAAUGUUCUCAAUACUUCUGAUUCUGACAGUUCUGGGCAAUGUUUACCACUGCUCCUUUGAAAACGGUCUCUGUAGACUUGGCCAACUUGACAAAUGUGUCCUGUUUGCCUUCCUCAACGGUUCCCAGGCUCGGACAAUGGCUGCUUUCUCUCGAAAUGCUUCCAUUUAGAGUCCUUUUUGGGUCUCCUACCGCAGUGUCUGCUGACUCAGCCAAAUUUCCACUUCCCAAAUUAGCUUUAUUUGGAGAUCAACCACAAAUGUCCAACAUUGACACCUAUUUUGGAAACAUUAAACAAUAAAUUCAUUGCAGAUAUAACACUCCCUUUCAGGGACAAAAAUGCUGA